rnacentral:rRNA from 1 species
UACAGAGGGGGCGAGCGUUGUUCGGAAUUACUGGGCGUAAAGGGCGCGUAGGCGGCCUUCUAAGUCGAACGUGAAAUCCCCGGGCUCAACCCGGGAACUGCGUCCGAUACUGGAGGGCUCGAAUCCGGGAGAGGGAUGUGGAAUUCCAGGUGUAGCGGUGAAAUGCGUAGAUAUCUGGAGGAACACCGGUGGCGAAGGCGGCAUCCUGGACCGGUAUUGACGCUGAGGCGCGAAAGCCAGGGGAGCAAACGGG